rnacentral:misc_RNA from 1 species
GGAAGUAAAAUCGUAACAAGGUUUCCGUAGGUGAACCUGCGGAAGGAUCAUUAUUGUAUAACCGAGGUGCGAGGGCUGUCGCUGACCCGAAAGGUCGUGCACGCCCGAGUGCCCUCACACACAUCCAUCUCACCCCUAUGUGCACCACCGCGUGGGUCCCCCUUUUGCUUGUUCGGAGGGGGGCUUACGUUUUCACACAAACUUUGUAUGCAGUGUAGAAUGUAUUUUUUGUUUUUGCGAUCACGCAAUCAAUACAACUUUCAACAACGGAUCUCUUGGCUCUC